rnacentral:rRNA from 1 species
CAGUCGCCACGGUAACACGUAGGUGGCAAGCGUUGUCCGGAAUUAUUGGGCGUAAAGCGCGCGCAGGUGGUUUAAUAAGUCUGAUGUGAAAGCCCACGGCUCAACCGUGGAGGGUCAUUGGAAACUGUUAAACUUGAGUGCAGGAGAGAAAAGUGGAAUUCCUAGUGUAGCGGUGAAAUGCGUAGAGAUUAGGAGGAACACCAGUGGCGAAGGCGGCUUUUUGGCCUGUAAUUGACACUGAGGCGCGAAAGCGUGGGGAGCAAACAGGAUUAGAUACCCCAGUAGUCCCUGUCUCUUAUAC